UUGUCCAAAAGCAAGUCUACAAAUGAUGCUAGCCGUGAAGGAGAAAAGGACUUUCCUCAAAUCUACUGAUGA
rnacentral:sRNA from 1 species